GGAAGCCACAACCAUCAUUAUAUAACCUGAUUAUAGCAUAAGACACUAUCACAUAAGGAAAACUGAAAGGUCUCUCAUACACUUCCAUAUUCAUGGAACAGCUAAAAGGUAUCAAGAGGAAGCACUUUGAACUUGUUAAAAGUGACUUGGCUGUUGAAUUAACAAAACUCACCAACGAUUCUGACAAACUAAACAAAGACCUCCGCGGGGCAAAGGCUGAUUUCGAGUUGAUGUGUAAGAGCAUGACAGAUAGACAAGCUGAUUUUCUUACACACGGGCUAUUCCUGGAGGAACAAUAUGGGAAAGUCAUUGGUGUUCUGGAUGGAAAGAUCCAUCCUGGUGAAAGGUCAUCUGCAGGAGAAGAUGAAGCAAGACGAACUGGAUCUGUUGUAGACAUUCGGAAAUUCGCCAGGGAUUCUCGCGAAUCACUGAUUAAUCACCGAAUCAGCAGGGAAAUUGCAUUACAGGAAAUGGAAACAACUUUCUGAAACUAUGAAGACCUCUGGAAUCAAAACCUCAAAGAAUUUAGAGAGAGAGCGGAAAAGAUUGAAAAACAGAGGUGGGAUCUAUCUGCCAAACUUUCUGAAUUUUUAGAAACAUGGUUGAACAAUCUUCAUCAGAGUAGUAACUUGUUCUGAUCUGGUGUGUCUUGUCUAUUCAUCCAGUUGCAUUAAACUUCAUACCUUUGUUUGUAUUUGUUUCUAAUUAAGUAUCUAUUUUUGGUUAUAUGUCA